GACCUGAGCUGAAGUCAGACAACGAACUGAGCCACCCAGGUGCCCCAAGUGAGAACAAUUAAGAUGUAAUCUCUUAGCAACUCUGAAGUUCGAAUACAUCGUUACGGACCAUGAUCACAAUGCUGUGCAUUUCAUCUCCAGAACUUACUUAUCUACCAACUUUCUCACCUCCUGUGUUUUCAAUCGGUGCAUCCCUGAACUCACCAUGCUGGGUGCAUCUGUUGAUGAGGAAGACGGAGAGGAAGAGGAGCAAAAUGGAGAGACAGCUGCAGGUGGCAGCAAUGAUGGACCUGGUGACUGGUGGGAGAGGAGCAGGUCACACAAUCAGUUUGGCUGCCCGGACACCCUGAUCUGCACGCGGCAGGACAGUCGUCAGCAGCUAGACAAUCCGGCUUCUAAAGCCUCCAGCUGCUGCUUCCGAGCUGGACCUUCCGAUGUCUUAGGGGAGUGAAUCUGACUUUCCCUUUCCCCAAAGCGAGGAUGGGAAUAGUAGCUACUGACUGCACUGCAUGGUGGGGGGCUGGGGGGGUAACCAGGUGGGCACUCCCAGAGAGGGCCUCGCCCAAGGGAAAUUCCCAAUCAGUGUGUCAGCCAUAUCAAUAAUAAUGAAGAUUUAUGGGGCGCCCGGCUGGCUCACUUGGUUGAGCAUCCGACUUCGGCGCAGGCCAUGAUCUCACAGUUCGUGGGUUCAAGCCC